GCUGUUCUAUGAUGAUUAUAUUGCUUUAACCACACUGAAAAGAUGGGCUUGAGAAUGUGAUGUGGUUCUUCUUGAUUUAAUCCAAAGAAAGAGUUCUUGAGCUAUAUGUAUUGCUUGAUGACACUUUGAUCUAAAAUACUUGAAGGGGAUUUGUUUCCCUUUGUGUUUUAGAUCAAGGAAGAGAUCAGUGUAGAGCUCUUGUUCGAUAUUUUUCUUAGUUUAAAUCUUGAAGAACAUUAUCAUUUUCUCAAGCACUCAUAUGUGGAAUCAUUGUGCCCUUUGUCUGAGAA